CCUACGGGUGGCAGCAGUGGGGAAUAUUGCACAAUGGGGGAAACCCUGAUGCAGCGACGCCGCGUGAGUGAAGAAGUAAUUCGUUAUGUAAAGCUCUAUCAGCAGGGAAGAAAAUGACGGUACCUGAGUAAGAAGCCCCGGCUAACUACGUGCCAGCAGCCGCGGUAAUACGUAGGGGGCAAGCGUUAUCCGGAUUUACUGGGUGUAAAGGGAGCGCAGGCGGGAGGCCAAGUCAGGUGUGAAAGCUGGGGGCUUAACUUGUAGACUGCAUUGGAAACUGGUCAGCUGGAGUGAAGGAGAGGUAAGCGGAAUUCCGAGUGUAGCGGUGAAAUGCGUAGAUAUUAGGAGGAACACCGGUGGCGAAGGCGGCCUACUGGGCUUUAACUGACGCUGAGGCUCGAAAGUGUGGGGAGCAAACAGGAUUAGAUACCCGUGUAGUC
rnacentral:rRNA from 1 species